UACGCUCACUUCGGUGAGAGUGGCGAAAGGGUGAGUAACGCGUGAGCGAUCUGCCCCCAAGUCCGGAACAACUGUUGGAAACGACAGCUAAUACCGGAUGUGAAUCUAAAACUGCAUGGUUUUAAAUUUAAAGGUUUACUGCUUGGGGAUGAGCUCGCGUCCCAUUAUGCUAGUUGGUAAGGUAACGGCUUACCAAGGCUAUGACGGGUAGGUGGUCUGAGAGGAUGGUCACCCACACUGGGACUGAGACACUGCCCAGACUCCUGCGGGAGGCUGCAGUCGAGAAUCUUCCGCAAUGCGCGAAAGCGUGACGGAGCAAUGCCGCGUGAGGGAUGAAGGCUUUCGGGUCGUAAACCUCUGUCAGAAGGGAAAAACAUUGAUUGUACCUUCAGAGGAAGCCACGGCUAACUACGUGCCAGCAGCCGCGGUAAUACGUAGGUGGCGAGCGUUAUUCGGAUUUACUGGGCGUAAAGGGUCCGUA
rnacentral:rRNA from 1 species